rnacentral:rRNA from 1 species
UACGGGGGGGGCAAGCGUUGUUCGGAAUUACUGGGCGUAAAGGGCUCGUAGGCGGCCAACUAAGUCGGACGUGAAAUCCCCAGGCUCAACCUGGGAACUGCGUCCGAUACUGGAUGGCUUGAAUUCGGGAGAGGGAUGCAGAAUUCCAGGUGUAGCGGUGAAAUGCGUAGAUAUCUGGAGGAAUACCGGUGGCGAAGGCGGCAUCCUGGACCGACAUUGACGCUGAUGAGCGAAAGCUAGGGGAGUAAACGGG